UGAGGAACAUGACCUUCGGCGGGGGAUAGCCGGCCCAACGGCCGGGUAAUACCGCGUACGACCACAUGGGACACCCCUGAGUGGUGAAAGCAGCAAUGCGCCGAUGGAGUGCCUCGCGGCCUAUCAGCUAGUUGGUGAGGUAACGGCUCACCAAGGCGACGACGGGUAGCUGGUCUGAGAGGAUGGCCAGCCACAUUGGGACUGAGACACGGCCCAGACUCCGUAGGGAGG
rnacentral:rRNA from 1 species